CAUGUCUUUUUGAUUAUAAUUUAAAGUCUGACCUGCCCUAUGAAUUAUUUUUAAAUGGCUGCGGUAUUUUGACCGUACAAAGGUAGCAUAAUAAUUAGUUUUUUAAUUGGGAACUGGUAUGAAUGGUCGAACGAGAAAAAGACUGUCUCAAUUUAAGUUUAAUUAGAAUUUUAUAUUUAAGUUAAAAAGCUUAAAUAAAUUUAAAAGACGAGAAGACCCUAUAGAGUUUUAUAUAAUUUUGGUUGUUUAAAAGUUUAAGAAUAGUAAAUUUAAAUAAUUAUGUUUAUAUUUGGUUGGGGCGAUUAAAAAAUUUAAAUAACUUUUUUUAUUUAAUUACAUUGAUAUAUGUUUAAAUGAUCCAUACUUUAUGAUUAUAAGAUUAAAUUACCUUAGGGAUAACAGCGUAAUUUUUUUUUAGAGUUCUUAUCGAAAAAAAAGUUUGCGAC
rnacentral:rRNA from 1 species